rnacentral:lncRNA from 1 species
UAGUUCCAUCGGCUAUGUUUGUUAGGUAGAUAAACCUUUUCACAUAUUGACAAGUGUUUACGAUAAUCUUAACAUAGAGAGAAGGGCUACAGCCUUUCAUUUCAAAAGGAGUGGUUGAUGUGUAUAGGAGAAACUCAAUAUUGGAUGAAGCGACAAGUCAUAGGCACGUUUUGAGGUUUAGGAGAGGACCUUCAGGACUCCAAAAUGGCAGAAUCCAAAGCUCCACCGAAAGUCUUUAGUUCUCCAGAAGAAGCAAUCAAAGCUAUCAUGGAGGUUAAUCGAUUGGCGACGUUAGAGGAGACUCAGCAAAAGUACAAUGAGCUUGAUUUUACUAGUCCCGAAGUCAUGCUCGAUAUAAAGAAAAUAAUACUUGAUUUGAGCAUUACUGUGCUUCAGAACCUUGGCUUAAAUCACUUGAUUCCGAUGUUUGGACUUGAUAAGAUCCCAAACAUUAUGAUGGCAACUAUGGCAUAUAAGGAUUCACCGGAGGUGAUGAAAGCUGUUGCGAAAAUCAGAAUGAACCCAGCCUUGCGUAUUGCACCACCUCGCCUGAUAGUAGUUGGCGAUGAUGUACCGGACAUGAGGCUUGUAUCUCUAUCUGGUGACGUCACAACUCUUUCUGAUCUUCAUAUCAACAAGGAUAGACCAAUGUUGAUCAUGGCUUCAUCAGCUUCCUGACCCCCGCUUAGGGCCUGUGUAGUAGGUGGUACGCUUGCUGAAAUUGUUCGCGACUACCGAGGCCAGGUCGAUUUCUUAGCUGUUUAUCUAGCCGAAGCUCACCCGAUAGGACCUGCUGCGAUGGGAACCAAUAUAAGUCACAUUGAUCAGCACAAAACCCUUGAAGAAAGAAUUUCUGCUGCAAAAGAUCUUCUACAGAUAGAUGAAGAAACACACGAUUGCAUGACCGAUGACGUCACUAAUGUUUCACGGUUUCGCAUCGUCGCUGAUCAGAUGGACAACCUCUUCUCCAGAAUGUUCCAGGCGCACCCAGAUCGUGUGAUAUUUCUACGAGAUGGCAAAGUGGUUUACAUCGGCAAGACUGUCAUGGAACACAUGAUGAAACCGUUAGAAUUGAUGACGCAUGAAGCACGAUAUUGGUUAGAAAAGAACGUAGGUCCUCCACUCAACAAAUAAUAUACACAUGGUCAGAUCGGUUCUAUAUAUUGAUAAUAAAAAUGCAUAAACAUUAAAAAUUGCUCUUUAAUUCAUCCAUAAUGUUUUCUAGACUUGUACUCAGUUUUGUGGGUACGUGAGUGAUUUACAGCCCAAGGCCGCCAAGCAAGUCUAAUUCCCACCUUGGCUACUUGUCAUUCUGCUUGUUGAUACACCGUUUUUUUUAUGUAUAUUUCGACUAUCUGAAAAGGGUAUUACAGUUUGAAAGCUUAAUUGGUAAUUCGACAAAAUGGUAAAUUGGCUAACUGUCAAUAAUAACACAUGGUUAGAAGAUGGUUGUAGAACAAUCAUGAUUAUUGGACCAAAGAAAAGCAGCCCAAAUAUAAAUGUACUGGUUAUACAGGUAGGUUAAGAUAAGGGUUCUGUAUUGGGAUCUGUGCAGUAUUUGUAUAGAUCACUUUAUAGACAUCAUGCUAGCACAGCAUUACAAAACGACUUGAAACUGUUCCUGACAUAGAUAUGAAAGCCGUAAAACAAAUCUCUCAAGUUAAGGAUUUUCAUUGUAGGCCUACACUUACCAGAGGCCGCAAAACGGUGUGGGGGCUGAGCCAAAAGUGCGUGUGUCUGGGGAGGGGGUGGGACUGACCAUGCAAAAAUUAUAAUCAGAAGGUCGUUUUUACGUUUUGUACACGGUUUUGGAAAAAAAAACAAAGUGCUCACUACCAUUUCUUUAUUACGGACUAUAUCAUUUCUUAUUAUCAUUUAUGAUUAUUUUUUUUUGGGGGGGGGAUGUGAAGAUCGUUAGUAGUUCUAUAUUAUUGUGGUAUGAUUAAUUGUCUAGAGCAUGUAAAAGGUGCUUCACGAAAUGAAGUUUCCUUGGGGUAUGAUUAAGUGUUUAGAGCAUGUAAAAGGUGUUUCACGAAUUGAAGUUUUGUCAAACAGGAUGUUGUUUCAUAACAUAAAUCAAAAACAAAGUGAAUGAAGUUUCAACAGAAAAGUUAAACCUGGGGAAACUGAAAGUAAGAUUUGUGUCGUUUAUGAUUAAUAUGAAAUGAUGUCCUGUGUUUAUUCAUUCGUCACCAUGGCCAGUAGAUGUUUUUGCUACUAUUAAAUAUUGUAACGAAAACUA